GAUAAACGCUGGCGGCGUGCAUGAGACAUGCAAGUCGAACGGACGAAUGGGCUUGCUCAUUCGUUAGUGGCGGACGGCUGAGUAACGCGUAGGUGACCUGCCCCGAAGUGGGGAAUAACUGCCCGAAAGGGUGGCUAAUACCGCAUGUGGUGAUGCGUUCAUUCACAUCAUCAAAGCCGCAAGGCGCUUCGGGAGGGGCCUGCGUCCGAUUAGCUCGUUGGUGGGGUAACGGCUCACCAAGGCGACGAUCGGUAGGUGGUCUGAGAGGAUGAUCACCCAGACUGGGACUGAGACACGGCCCAGACUCCUACGGGAGGCAGCAGUCGGGAAUUUUGCUCAAUGGGCGCAAGCCUGAAGCAGCAACGCCGCGUGAGGGAUGAAGGCCUUCGGGUUGUAAACCUCUUUUGACAGGGACGAUGAUGACGGUACCUGUCGAAUAAGUCACGGCUAACUACGUGCCAGCCGCCGCCGUA
rnacentral:rRNA from 1 species